UACGUAGGGUGCGAGCGUUAAUCGGAAUUACUGGGCGUAAAGCGUGCGCAGGCGGUUCGCCAAGUCAGGUGUGAAAUCCCCGGGCUUAACCUGGGAAUUGCGCUUGAAACUAGCGGGCUUGAGUGUGGCAGAGGGGGGUGGAAUUCCACGUGUAGCAGUGAAAUGCGUAGAGAUGUGGAGGAACACCGAUGGCGAAGGCAGCCCCCUGGGUCAACACUGACGCCUCAUGCACGAAAGCGUGGGGAGCAAACAGG
rnacentral:rRNA from 1 species